AUCUAAUUCUGGCUAACAAAAACUCCUUAUGUAAAAUUAAUAGGAGCAAAACCCAGAAGGAUCUUUCUGCAUUAAGAACAUGUCCCUCAAAAGCAGUCGGCUGAUAAAGCUUAAAAAGAUACGUUCCUGGCUACUCAAGGUGCCUGCUAAGGGAAAGUGUUGGGCACCCACAGUGUUGCCCCGUGGUGUGACUGCUGAAGCCAGUCAAUGCCAUCAGCAUUAGUGUCUGCACCAGCACAUUUCUGGGGAGCUGCAGUGGUUUCUAGCAUAGGUUUUGGUCAUACCUUACUCUGCGUCUUCUUCAAGCCAAGCUGCAAACCAAAUGUUGACAUUGUCUUAUAACACUCUCCAAUUGCAAAGAAGACCAGCUCAAGCCUGCCCCAAGUUUUGUUGGUCCCUUGGUGGAAAAUAGACCCAACUGUAUUCUGUUCUGGGCGAUGAAAAAAGAAGUUUAAACCAAAUAGUUUCUUAACUAAUUCCAUUCACUAACAAUAUGUUACUGGAAAAAACAAAGCAGACUCAUUGGCCGUCUCAGUCAUCACUUGCAUAAGCUCUCUGUAUUAGGCAAGGUCUGAAGUGAGCAAACAGUCAUUUCCCGAGUCCUGAUGGUCAACCUCAGAACUGGUGUGACUCAAAGGAAGAGCUCAAUCUCCUUAUGAAAGGGCAUAGCAUUCUAAUGUCCUUGCAUUCAGAUAACGUGAACGAAGGCAAAAGCAAUUCAUCUUUCCCAGCAGCAUAGUCAUAUGAAAAUAUGUCUUAGAGGUCUCAGCUAUGACAGGAAAACUACCUAUCAUUUUAUGUUGUCAACAUGAAGAGCAUUAAAGAUUUCUAUGCUUAACAAUGCCAAAC